CAUGUGUGGCUUAAAACCUAGAUGACAGGUCAAUAGGUACAGCAAACAACCAUGGCACAUGUAUGCCUAUGUAACAAACCUGCACGUUCUGCACAUGUAUCCCAGAACCUAAAGUAAAACCAUUUUUUUAAUGAAAUAAAUUUUUAAAAUAAGAAUUAAAA